rfam:Lactobacillus sanfranciscensis TMW 1.1304, complete genome.
GGGGAGUUAGCUCAGUUGGGAGAGCGCUCACUUGCUUGCAAGUGAGAAGACGAAGGUUCAAUCCCUCCAUUCUCCA